rnacentral:lncRNA from 1 species
AUGGGGGACCUGGUCCAGGCAGCUGGGGCUGAACCGGCAGAUCGGAACACUCGCCCUGUGUCGCAAACAAAAAUAAAUGAAAACAGUUGGAAAGAUGAUUGGGAGAAAGCAUCUUGGAGUCGCAUGCGUUUUUUCCUAACACAUAUUUUCCCUAGAGUUUUUGACGACCCUUUGUGGGAUCUUCCAUCAGCCAAGGUGCCCAGGGAGGAGCCAGUGAUGGGGCAGCGGAUGGAGGGGGGAGGGGAAACGGGGCUGCAGGAGGCGGGGCCGGGAGUGGGGACUGAGGCCUGGGUUGGGGGGGGCGGCAAGCAGGUGCGGUGCCCGCCUCUGUCACCCUCCGCCCACCCGGAAGAUGCGCGCCUGUGCGUGGGUGGCGGGGCUGGUGGGGGUGGAGCUGCGGCUUCCUCCAGCGGCUCGCUGGGAGGCUGGAGGAAUCGGGCGAGUUCCUUUGACAGAGAAGGGCACCGAGCGGACCCCUGGGAGCGGCCCUCCUGCUUCGGGUGCCAGGGCGCAGAGGAAACGCGUCGGUCUGCCCGGAGCCCCGGCUCCCUCUCUCCCGUGCGAGUGACCACCGUGCCUCUAGCCGCGGGCGGGUCCUUAGCCGGGGCAGCGGAGGAUGAUGGCGUUCGUGGUCCCCACACCUUGCCAUGCCGCUGGGCAGCCUCCUGCCCCCUGCUCCCGCUUGGGUCCUGGGACCCCGGGACCCCUUUCCACCCUGCGCUGAGCAAACCCCUCACAGGCUGGGAGCUCCGGGAAGCUCUAGCAAGACCCCGUUUCCUUGUAGGAGGGACGGCACAAAAGCACUGGCCAGGUGUCUCCCUCAGCACCUACCCGCAGUGGCGAAGAGGUCUCCUCCCCACGGAGGAGCUCAGGCGACCCGGAACUUCCACUCCGUCUGGUUCUGGAUUGUUCCAAGGCUCCCCACAGCACCCCGGCCUCGGUGGUGCUGUGUCUCCCGGUGCCUGGUGGGCCUCUCCAAACCCCCUACUGUCCGCUCCAAGCUCUCUUGCUCCCCUGCCCCGCCCCCACCUUAUAUCAUCAGGUUCAAGUUCACUCCCUUUAGGCCAACAGAUGCAAAUGAGCAAAACUUGCCCAUUCCCGCCCCCCCACAGCCAAGCAGUUUCAAGUCAGCUCAGCGCCCCAGAGAACAGAAUCGCAUCCAAUAAAGCCGGGCUGCUGCUUUCUUUGGAUGGCAACGCUGUGAGCUGA